AACUCCCCUUGAAAACCUAUUCAAUUUUUCUCCAAAUCACUUUUUCAUUCAUGAAUUCAUUAAAAUCAAACAUCCCGUUGUAUCUUACGAUAUUUUACGAUUUCGAUAAGCGCAAAAUUAAGCGCCUCUCCUUAUCUUUACGUAACGCAAAAAAAAGAAAAAGAAAAACAAUACCAUCGCGAGGAGAAAAGAAAGAAACGAUUUAGACCGAGCUAAACGUGGAAGAGAAGUAUAUAUAAAUAAAUAUAAAUUACGUAAUCUCUGCAUAAUAGACCGGUAAGAAGGCCUAUAUCGGAGCACGCGAACACGAGAAAGAUGGUUUGCGAACAGAUGCAAGAUGUCCAAUGAAAGCCUGGGGCGGCCAAAGUUCCUCGAGGCUCCUCUCGUGAAUAAUUUCGCGAUAUGAUACACAAAGGGGUAAGAGCGAAGGGAAGGAAGAGAGAGAGAGAGAGAGAAAGAAGGGUGCAUGAUGUCAAAAAUAGAAGGAAGGAGGAAAGAGGCAGAGAGGGGGCUGGUUGGCUAUCAGAAUGUGAUUUAGGUCGGGAAUUCACGAUGCAAUAUCAAUGAAAUACGAGCCCCCCGAGGCGGCCUUCGUCCGCAUCGUCCAUUGUCUGGUUCAGCAGAAACUGCUUCAUGAAGAGGCGACUGGCGUGCGGUAUUAAAGAAAAACUGGUCUUGGAGGAACCUGCCCCGCUCUGCCGAAAGGGGAAUCUCCGCCGCUUGUAUACGCGAUCUUUCCCGCCGAGAGGGACGCGAUAUAAACAUUCGUAAAAAGAUGUCGCGCGGACGUUGAAAGUUUUGGUCGACGAUUACUUUAGCGGAGGAGUCCGCGGGAUAAUUUUAUCGAGAAUAAUUUCCGCGGUACCGUUUCAAAUAUACGCCCUCUUCGUCAUCUGUCAGCUGCGGAAGAAGAGGAGAAAAGAGAGAAAUUUCGUGGAAUUUGUUCGAGUAGAUUUUUUUUUUUUCAAUUUUUAUACGGGUAAGAAAAAUCCUAAUAUCUUGGAUGAAAUAUUGGCAACAUCUAUCUAUCGUUAUAAUAUGAAAGUAGGAGGGGGAGUAUAUAUCAGGCUAAUGCGUUUUCUAUUAUACAACUGGUUAGAAGGGAAGAAGAAUUCGUUUCUAUUAGUCGAGAAUAGAUGGCCUUCGAGUGAAUUCACCAUCCAAUUUACGUGAAUUUUCAUGGGAUGAUGUAUUAGGUAGCUGGGCGCGAUUCAUCUUCGCUCUUUGAAGCACUGUUUUCAAUUUUAAAUCGCUCGAGGUAUAAAUGGCGAUGAUGUUCCGCCAGCUGUUUUAAUGCUGUUGCUCACCUCGCGAAAAGAAUCGUUUUACUUAUUAGCAUAAAAAGGGUAGAAGAGGCGCGCUGGGUAAAAACAAUUAGGAGGAGACGAGUUGUUAUUUAACCUUGGUAUCCUCAAAAUUAUUCCGCGUAUAAACGUAAUUUAUCCUUCUCGGCGUUGUAAAGAAGUCACUCGUGUGGUCGAUCGAUGGAAAAAUUUUCCUCGGGCGAAUGUCGCUUGUGCGUACAUGAACGUUUCACCUUCGUAGGAAACAUGAAACUAGCGAGGUUAACCGCAUCCUUUUCGCCGCGUCUGUCCAUUCAACGCGAUCCACGCAUAAAACUACUCGUGUCGAUGCGCUCUCGCGUCUCGUUUUACCUUUUCGCAUCAUUGUCGCCCUCCCAAACCAAUUCCCGUUUAUAAUAAC